rnacentral:rRNA from 1 species
UACGAAGGGUGCAAGCGUUACUCGGAAUUACUGGGCGUAAAGCGUGCGUAGGUGGUUUUUUAAGUCCGUUGUGAAAGCCCUGGGCUCAACCUGGGAAUGGCAGUGGAUACUGGAAAGCUAGAGUGCGGUAGAGGGUAGUGGAAUUCCCGGUGUAGCAGUGAAAUGCGUAGAGGUCGGGAGGAACACCAGUGGCGAAGGCGGCUCGCUGGGACGGUACUGACGCUGAGACGCGAAAGCGUGGGGAGCAAACAGG